UUAACCCNUGGCNGGCAUGCCUAACACAUGCAAGUCGAGCGGCAGCAGGUCCUUCGGGAUGCUGGCNGAGCGGCGGACGGGUGAGUAACACGUGGGAAUCUGCCCAUCGGUGGGGGAUAGCCCGAGGAAACUCGGAUUAAUACCGCAUACGCCCUACGGGGCAAAGNAGACCUCUGAUUUAAGUUUACGCCGAUGGAUGAGCCCGCGGCCGAUUAGCUAGUUGGUGGGGUAAAGGCCUACCAAGGCAACGAUCGGUAGCUGGUCUGAGAGGACGAUCAGUCACACCGGAACUGAGACACGGUCCGGACUCCUACGGGAGGCAGCAGUGGGGAAUAUUGGACAAUGGGCGAAAGCCUGAUCCAGCAAUGCCGCGUGGGUGAAGAAGGCUUGAGGGUUGUAAAGCCCUUUCAGCAGGGAGGAAAAGCGUACGGUUAAUAUCCGUGCGUNUUGACGUUCCUGCA
rnacentral:rRNA from 1 species